CAGACGCCCGAAUGUCAGCGGCUCUGCAGACGCCUGAACACAGCAGCUCUGCAUACGCCCAAACACAAACGUCAGCGGCUAUGCAGACGCCCGAACGUCAGCGGCUCUGCAGACGCCCGAACGUCAGCGGCUCUGCAGACGCUCAAACGUCAGCGGCUCUGCAGACGCCCGAACGUCAGCGGCUCUGCAGACGCUCAAACGUCAGCGGCUCUGCAGACGCUCAAACGUCAGCGGCUCUGCAGACGCUCAAACGUCAGCGGCUCUGCAGACGCUCAAACGUCAGCAGCUCUGCAGACGCCCAAACACAAACGUCAGCGGCUCUGCAGACGCUUGAACAUCAGCGGCUCUGCAGACGCCCGAAUGUCAGCGGCUCUGCAGACGCUCAAACGUCAGCGGCUCUGCAGACGCUCAAACGUCAGCGGCUCUGCAGACGCUCAAACGUCAGCGGCUCUGCAGACGCUCAAACGUCAGCAGCUCUGCAGACGCCCAAACACAAACGUCAGCGGCUCUGCAGACGCUUGAACAUCAGCGGCUCUGCAGACGCCCGAAUGUCAGCGGCUCUGCAGACGCUCAAACGUCAGCGGCUCUGCAGACGCUCAAACGUCAGCGGCUCUGCAGACGCCCAAACACAAACGUCAGCGGCUCUGCAGACGCUCAAACGUCAGCAGCUAUGCAGACGCCCGAACGUCAGCGGCUCUGCAGACGCCCAAACACAAACGUCAGCGGCUCUGCAGACGCUCAAACGUCAGCGGCUCUGCAGACGCUCAAACGUCAGCGGCUCUGCAGACGCCCAAACACAAACGUCAGCAGCUAUGCAGACGCCCGAACGUCAGCGGCUCUGCAGACGCCCAAACACAAACGUCAGCGGCUCUGCAGACGCUCAAACGUCAGCGGCUCUGCAGACGCUCAAACGUCAGCGGCUCUGCAGACGCUCAAACGUCAGCGGCUCUGCAGACGCUCAAACGUCAGCGGCUCUGCAGACGCUCAAACGUCAGCGGCUCUGCAGACGCCCAAACACAAACGUCAGCAGCUAUGCAGACGCCCGAACGUCAGCGGCUCUGCAGACGCCCGAACGUCAGCGGCUCUGCAGACGCCCAAACACAAACGUCAGCAGCUAUGCAGACGCCCGAAUGUCAGCGGCUCUGCAGAUGCUCAGAUGUCAGCGUGUCUGCAGACGCCCGAACGUCAGCAGCUCUGCAUACGCCCAAACACAAACGUCAGCAGCUAUGCAGACGCCCGAAUGUCAGCGGCUCUGCAGACGCUCAAACGUCAGCAGCUCUGCAGACGCCCAAACACAAACGUCAGCGGCUCUGCAGACGCUUGAACAUCAGCGGCUCUGCAGACGCCCGAAUGUCAGCGGCUCUGCAGACGCUCAAACGUCAGCGGCUCUGCAGACGCUCAAACGUCAGCGGCUCUGCAGACGCCCAAACACAAACGUCAGCGGCUCUGCAGACGCUCAAACGUCAGCAGCUAUGCAGACGCCCGAACGUCAGCGGCUCUGCAGACGCCCAAACACAAACGUCAGCGGCUCUGCAGACGCUCAAACGUCAGCGGCUCUGCAGACGCUCAAACGUCAGCGGCUCUGCAGACGCCCAAACACAAACGUCAGCAGCUAUGCAGACGCCCGAACGUCAGCGGCUCUGCAGACGCCCAAACACAAACGUCAGCGGCUCUGCAGACGCUCAAACGUCAGCGGCUCUGCAGACGCUCAAACGUCAGCGGCUCUGCAGACGCUCAAACGUCAGCGGCUCUGCAGACGCUCAAACGUCAGCGGCUCUGCAGACGCUCAAACGUCAGCGGCUCUGCAGACGCCCAAACACAAACGUCAGCAGCUAUGCAGACGCCCGAACGUCAGCGGCUCUGCAGACGCCCGAACGUCAGCGGCUCUGCAGACGCCCAAACACAAACGUCAGCAGCUAUGCAGACGCCCGAAUGUCAGCGGCUCUGCAGAUGCUCAGAUGUCAGCGUGUCUGCAGACGCCCGAACGUCAGCAGCUCUGCAUACGCCCAAACACAAACGUCAGCGGCUCUGCAGACGCCCGAAUGUGGUUGAAACUCUGACGUCUCAGCAGCUGAAGCCUUUUUAGCUAACAUGUUUUUGUAAACUCUGCCUCCCAACAAGCUGGCUCCUCAUUGGCCAAUCACUGCUUGCGGACUGUGAGUCAUACAUACGUUCCUGAAGAAGGAAACGGGUGCAGGUUCAAAUCCGGGCUGGCUGACGUAAACCUCUACGUGUGAAAAGAAUGAAGCUCAUCAGGCAUUUGCUGCAGUGUUGGUUGUGUUUGUUGUCAGAAAAGACUGUCACUGUUGCUCAGCUCCAACAGUCAUUUGUGUGUGUGUGUGUGGGGGGGGUGCACACACCAACAGGCCCACAGCAGCACAGAGCAGGCAGCCGGGGCAGUUGGCACCAACCUGCCCCCUCUUGACUGUGGGUGAGGGUGCAGAGUCUUGGCACGGGAUGAAUAGAUUUUCUCUGGCACGCCACGAUUAGGAGGGGGGAAGCGAUGGGGAGGGGGGGCAGGACAGACCUGGCAGGGCUUCUGCUCCUUUGUUCGUCUGUUCGGGUUUGCAGCGCCAGAGGAAAUCAAGGGACCUCCAGGCUCGGUGGAGGUGGAUGGGGAAAAUCCCGGCUCUGAAGGACAGAAAGGGGUUCUGACGGACUCUAAGGCGCUCCGGCGACGCCUGUCGGACUAGCAAACAAAAAGAUUCUGCUGGUUCUCUCAUGGACCCUUUGGAUCUGGAUGGGGUUUGGGGACAAAUGAUUCCUCCCAAAGGUGGAGUUAGUCUCCAGAUUCUCCAAACGUCUUUGGGAACUGGGCGAGGAUGGACAUCUGAGGCCGUGAAGUCCCCAGAGAAAAGAGAGAAACACGACGUGAGUGGGAAUCGCACCGUUCCACCUUUUCCAGCAGAAACGGAGAUGGUUCUGUUCGGAAUGGGCUGUUUCUGGGGGGCAGAGAGGAAGUUCUGGAGGCA